rnacentral:tRNA from 1 species
GCCGGUGCAGCACGAAUGGCUCGUGCAGCCGACUCGUAAUCGGCAGGCUGCGGGUUCGAGUCCCGCCGCCGGCU